UACGUAGGUGGCUAGCGUUGUUCGGAUUUACUGGGCGUAAAGGGCGCGUAGGCGGAUUUUUAAGUCGGGGGUGAAAUCCCGGAGCUCAACUCCGGAACUGCCUUCGAUACUGAAAGUCUGGAGCACGGUAGAGGUGAGUGGAAUUCCGAGUGUAGAGGUGAAAUUCGUAGAUAUUCGGAGGAACGCCAGUGGCGAAGGCGGCUCACUGGACCGUUGCUGACGCGGAGGCGCGAAAGCGUGGGGAGCAAACAGG
rnacentral:rRNA from 1 species